AUUUCUAUUACCCUGAAGUGUGUCGCAGCAUCAAUUGGUGAAAAAGUCCCAUUGACUAAAAAGCUGCCGGCAACAACAACAGUUGGCAAGCUGAAAAUCCUAUGUGAGAGUUUCUUCAAGAUAAAAUCUAUUAAACCGAAGUUGUUUAUUCAAGAAGAGGUAUGUAUCAGUCACUUAGAUUUCAUGAAUAGAUGAUAUAAUGGAUCAAACCCCCCUUAAACAAUCACAUUUUUACAAGUUUCAUACUCAAACCAUGCCUACUUUAUGU
rnacentral:misc_RNA from 1 species